rnacentral:tRNA from 2 species
AACCCUAUAGUGAAGUUCACAUUAGAUUGCAAAUCUAAUAAUACAGAAGAUGUCUGUUAGGGUUU